GACGAACGCUGGCGGCGUGCUUAACACAUGCAAGUCGAACGGAAAGGCCCUGCUUUUGUGGGGUGCUCGAGUGGCGAACGGGUGAGUAACACGUGAGUAACCUGCCCUUGACUUUGGGAUAACUUCAGGAAACUGGGGCUAAUACCGGAUAGGAGCUCCUGCUGCAUGGUGGGGGUUGGAAAGUUUCGGCGGUUGGGGAUGGACUCGCGGCUUAUCAGCUUGUUGGUGGGGUAGUGGCUUACCAAGGCUUUGAACGGUAGCCGGCCUGAGAGGGUGACCGGCCAGACUGGAAAGGAGACACGGCCGAGACGGCUAAGGGAGGCAGCAGUGGGGAAUAGUGGAGGAUGGGCGAAAGCCUGAUCCAGCAAUGCGGCGGGGGGGAUGAAGGGCUGAGGGUUGUAAAGCUCUUUUACACGAGAUGAUAAUGACAGUAUCGGGAGAAUAAGCUCCGGCUAACUCCGUG
rnacentral:rRNA from 1 species